rnacentral:rRNA from 1 species
GAUGAACGCUAGCUGGAGGCUAAAUACAUGCAAGUCGAACGAGAUUGUUGUAGCAAUAUGACAUGAAAGUGGCGCACGGGUGCGUAACACGUAUGCAAUCUACCUUUGAUAGGGGAAUAGCUUCGAGAAAUCGGAACUAAUGCCCCAUAACAUAUUUGAGUGGCAUCACUCGAUUAUCAAACCUCCGGGGAUCAAAGAUAAGCAUGCGCAACAUUAGCUAGUUGGUGAGGUAAUGGCUCACCAAGGCUACGAUGUUUAGGGGGUCUGAGAGGAUGAUCCCCCACACUGGUACUGAGACACGGACCAGACUCCUACGGGAGGCAGCAGUAGGGAAUAUUGGUCAAUGGAGGCAACUCUGAACCAGCCAUGCCGCGUGCAGGAUGACGGCCCUCUGGGUUGUAAACUGCUUUUAUACGGGAAGAAAAAGAGCUACGUGUAGCUUAUUGACGGUACCGUAAGAAUAAGGAUCGGCUAACUCCGUGCCAGCCGCCGCCUGUAAGAC